rnacentral:lncRNA from 1 species
AUGUACUGCAUCUGUACAGGACAACACAUAAAUGUCUCAAGGGCACAACUUUUUCUCCUUCAGGAUGAACUGUUAGAGCAAAGGACAGCCUUCCAGCCCUGUGUGUAUGGAAACACAGAGGACAUUUUGAAGGGAAAAGAAAGCAGUCAGGAAAGAAGUUCAAUUAUUUAUGGUGAGCAGAUGGAUUUAGCAAACCUGCCUGCUGAGACAGAGGCAUGACUGUGCAAAUCAGGGCAAGGCUGAUGGAGCAAAAAAGCCAGAGCAGGCCUCUCAUGGAUGCUGCUGUCCAGGACCUCCAUGCUCCUCUGUGAUACCACACCUCUCCAGGACUUUUUGGUCAGCAUUAAGAAAAUCUUCUCAGAGGGUAGUUAGACACUGUUUUCCGCUCCCUGUAUCACAGAAUUUUUCUAUUUAUAAUUGUACCUAGAAUUAUUAAAAUAUCUUUAAAUCUCUCUAGUCUAUUUAUAUGUUAUAUAAUUAGGGCUGGAGGAAUGAGGCAUACCUUAUAGAUCAACAACAUACCAGUAAUGCUGAAUGUACCUUCCCUUCCAUUAUUUUGUUUAAAAGCAUCUAAGACCAGUAGGAUAACAUGCUGAAAAUAUAAAUCAUGUUGCCUUUUGAUGCAAUUGAGAAGCUAGAAAUAAGGAAGAGAAACACAUCUACAUAUUAUAGUAUUUAUUAUAGAUCCACAUAGGAUGAAUACUCACUGUAGCUUGUAGUAAAAUUUUUAACACAGGUAGUAAUAGGACAUAAUUGCAAUUGAGGUGUUUAAGAGAGGGUGCUUCUCAUACAAACUAACCACAAGAACAAUUAGAGGUGCAAAAGUCCAUGUUCCUUAUGUGCUCUUAGUCACAAAGUAUAUUCACCUAUGAACAAACCCAGAGGUUGUGAUCUUUAGUUCUGAAAAUCAACUAACCUCAUAAUUAAAGGUUUUUAUAUAAAUAAAGGAGGCUUCUUUUGAUCUGCA